AUCGGCUAUAUAUUGAAUUAAAUGAAAUAAAAUCUCUGGUACUUACAGUCAACGACGAGUUUGGUUCCUCCACCAAAAGUGUACCACAGUGAUACAAACUCAUUAAGUGGCCGUACAAAAACCUCCUGCACUGUGAACAAGCAUCUAUCCACUGAAAAUACUCUCUGAUUUUUAUAAUUACAGAGAGAAAAUUAAACUUUACUGAAUCUAUAAAGCUUCUUUAAUGACAUGGAAUGAAAAUAUUGUAUAAAUAAAGAUUAUUUCUUGAGUUUUUCUUUACUUUUCUACACCUGACAGAGAAAUGAUUACAGUCUGUUUGUAAAAAAAGUCAUUUUUCUUCACAGUUUUAUAUCAGUUAAUACAUGGUCAAAUACCCAUGAUGCAUUUUAAAUAAUAAUGAUUUCAAACUAAUAUUAAAAUGAAUAUAAACAUAUAAUUUAUCUCCAUUAAACCCUGUGAGUAAAUGAAAGGCAGACAAACAGACAUAUCAUACCAAGCACAGUGAACACAAACUUGUCCUUAAAUCCUCAACUGCACUUGUAAUAUAAAUCUUUUCUUCUUUUCCAUUAAGAUGAUAGAUGGUGUAAAUCCAAGCAGUAUUCCUCCUGAUUUUGUGUCCCACGUUGCCUUGAGUGUGUUGAGAGCAGAGAAAUGAUUUCCAUAGAGAGGAGGCUUUGCAUGGUCAGCUGAUCCUCCAGUGAAGUGAGAAGGUUUAUAGUCCUGUGAGUUCAACACUGCAGGACUCAGAUGUGUCAGUCAACACAGCAGAAAGCACAAGCACCAUGACUCUCAUCACCAUCCUCAUCUGGACGCUGGCCUGCUGCUGUUUCACAGGAUGCAGCGCUCAGGUGACUGUGACUCAGCCUCCACUGGUGACAUCUGCUCCAGGAUCCACUGUCACUCUCACCUGUAAGACCAGCCAAGCUGUUUACAGACUCUCUUAUCUUGGAGAUUUUAUGUUCUGGUAUCAACAGAAAUCUGGACAGCCUCCAAAGCUCCUAAUAAAAUUGGUGAGCACACGUGAAUCAGGAACACCAGCUCGGUUUAGUGGCAGUGGAAGCAGCUCUGACUUCACUUUGACCAUCAGUGGAGUUCAGACUGAAGAUGCAGCAGUUUAUUACUGUCAGAGUUACCACAGUGGUGAUGUGUACACUUUUGGUGGAGGAACCAAACUCGUCGUUGACUUGGGUGUGGUGCGGCCCACCCUGACCGUCCUCCCCCCCUCCAGAGAGGAGCUGCAGCAGGACAGUGCCACACUGGUGUGUGUGGCCAGCGGGGGCUUCCCCUCAGCCUGGAGGCUGGGCUGGAAGGUGGGGGGCUGCAGCAGCUCCUCAGGGGUGUCACACAGCCUGGAGGUCCUGGGGAGGGACGGCCACUACAGCUGGAGCAGCACCCUGAGCCUCCCUGCAGACCAGUGGAGGAAGGCGGGCUCAGUGAGCUGUGAGGCCAGUCUGAAUGGACAGAGCCCUGUCACUCAAAGCCUGGACCCUGACAGCUGCUCAGAGUAGAGAAACAACAGAGUCUCUGCUCAGUCAAAUUCUGCUUUUACAAACAAAUCCAACCUGCUGUAAUUAACAUGUGAUCUGCUGCCAUUCUGCUUUCAUGUGACUUCAUGUCUUUAUUUGAACAUUUAUACAUCGUUACAGUCACAUGCUGUCGUCUUUGAGGUUUUGAAACAGAAAUAAAUAUUUCAUGCGCUUA